CCCUGACCUCCCUUGCAGGACAAGUGACAGAGGGAUGCAGAAAAUGGCUGAACCUGAGGAGACACCUGGUGGAGAAUAAAAGCAUUCUUCUCUCUGGGUCUGGUCAGCUGAUCGCAAUUGGGUUUAGCCAGGGUGGCUGUGCUCCAUGUCCUUCUCAUCCUUCUCCUGGGACCCAUAAGUCAGCCUGGGCACGUCCUCCUGAUGGUGGGGGUGGAGGGUCAAGGACAUAAAUGGAAGCAUGCAAGUUGCUUUGAGGCUGGAACUCAGAAUGAUUGCUUCCCUCUUUUUCUGACGGCCAAUGCAAGUGAUAAAGCCAGCGUCCCAGUCAAGGAGUGGGGUAAUAUUCCCCACUCCUUAUGUGACAAAUGAAAGUCCCAUGGUAAAGAGGAUGGAUAGAGAAGAGUGAGAAACUUAGCCAGACAUGCCAUCUACCACAGGUAAUUCUCUUACAUUCCUAGACAUAUUUUCCUCAUUUCUAGAACAGGAAAAUAAUCCAUUUUUCAAAAGAAGACAUACAAAUGGCCAACAGGCAUGUACAAAAAUUUUCAACAUCACUAGUCAUCAGCAAAAUACAAA
rnacentral:lncRNA from 1 species